UACGAAGGGGGCUAGCGUUGUUCGGAUUUACUGGGCGUAAAGCGCUCGUAGGCGGAUCUUUAAGUCAGGGGUGAAAUCCCGAGGCUCAACCUCGGAACUGCCUUUGAUACUGGGGAUCUCGAGUCCGGGAGAGGUGAGUGGAACUGCGAGUGUAGAGGUGAAAUUCGUAGAUAUUCGCAAGAACACCAGUGGCGAAGGCGGCUCACUGGCCCGGUACUGACGCUGAGGAGCGAAAGCGUGGGGAGCAACAGG
rnacentral:rRNA from 1 species